rnacentral:rRNA from 1 species
GACGAACGCUGGCGGCGUGCCUAAUACAUGCAAGUUGAGCGAUGAAGCAUGGUGCUCGCGCCCAUUUGGAGAGCAGCGAACGGGUGAGUGACGCGUGGGUCAGCUGCUUUUUAGUGGGGGACGAUAUUUGGAGACGAAUGCUAAUACCGCAUCAUACCUUUAAACAUAAGAUUUAAGUUUGAAUGAUGCAAUUGCAUCACUCAAAGAUGAUCCUGCGUUUUAUUAGCUAGUUGGGGAGGUAAAGGCUCACCAAGGCGAAGAUACAUAGCCGACCUGGGAGGGAGAUCGACCACAAUGGGGCUGAGAAACGGCCCAAGCUCCUACGGGAAGCCACAGGAGGGAAUCAUCGGCAAAGGACGAAAGUCCGACCGAGGAACGCCGCGGGGGUGGAGAAAGGUUUCGGAGCGUAAAACUCUGUUGGUAGAGAAGAACGUGGAUGAGGGUGGAAAGCUCAUCAAGUGACGGUAACUACACAGAAAGGGACGGCUAACUACGUG